rnacentral:rRNA from 1 species
UCCGUAGGCGGAUUAAUAAGUCAGAGGUGAAAUCCCACAGCUUAACUGUGGAACUGCCUUUGAUACUGUUAGUCUUGAGUUAUAUGGAAGUAGAUAGAAUGUGUAGUGUAGCGGUGAAAUGCAUAGAGAUUACACAGAAUACCGAUUGCGAAGGCAGUCUACUACGUAUAUACUGACGCUAAUGGACGAAAGCGUGGGGAGCGAACAGGAUUUGAUACCCUGGUAGUCC